GGUUGAUCCUGCCAGUAGUCAUAUGCU
rnacentral:rRNA from 1 species